UUUUAAUCCUUAUGAAUGUAUGGCAACGGUCCUGCUUUGUGAAAGCUCCUCCCCUCUAGUAAGUAAGUUUUAUUCAACCUAUAUGGGGUAUUUGCUGAGAGGAGCAUGGAAGAUGCAUCUUCCUCACGCUGCUCUGCUUUACAGUGAUUAAAGGGGUCGGUUUUUGGGGGUUGGGCUUCACUUUGAUUCCGAAGUAAUUAGUUGUACCUGUUCGUACAUGGUCUCUGAGGCCUUGUUGUACACGCUGUAUCACUUCAUCAUGCUCCUUUGUUCCGGGGUAGAUGUUACAACACGUAACACGUAAGAUGUCCGUAGGUUUUAGGACUAAUUAUAGAGCAGAACAAUAUCUGAAAACACAAAUGCUGCUCUCAUCAUUUAACUCGUAUAUGUUUCCUUCCAAAUAUUUUCAUGUGAGUUACGUGAUUACGUAAAGAAAACAUUUUAUAAAGAAUUUUAUUCACAUAGAGGACAACGGCGAUCUCAUGAAGGUGUUCAACAGACGCCAGGUUAGAGACAAUGGAGUAAGAAGAAGAGGGCCUUCAAGAAGGAGAACAAGGACAGCUGGAGGAGGACUCAUUGUGAACAUCCUCAAACCCACAAUGGAUAGCCAUGAGAACUCACAAAAGAGGCUUUUUGUUCUUUGGGCCAGCUGACUCUUGUAGGUCAAACGGUAUUACUAGAAGCAGUAGUUCAUCAAGUCGUGGUAAGCAUGACUCAGCACCGCUGGCUCCUUUUGGCGCAACCUCUGGACUGACAAACCCUUUUGGUUUAAGUGAGCCCACAAAACAUCUUUCAAAGUCUGGGAUUUUUCCAUUUCCACCCAGUAAUUCCAAUGCCCAGCCACUGUGCACGUCACACGGGCACUGCUCUCACACAUGCAUCACAAACAACAGCAUCGCAGUUAAACAGCUGUAUGUGAUUGAGCCUUUCUCUAAGGUCCGACCCUAAAUCACCUGGAGACCGACACACACAGUCUAGUCCUGCAGUCUCAAGCCCACUUGAAUUGAGCUUCCUCAUCCAGGCUUCCCUGAACCUCACCCAUGUGUUUGGAAUAUUCACCUGAUGGUUGUUUUCCCAGCUCUGUUAUCCCAUUGAUGGAUUUCAUAUUACCCUCCCAGAGAAGCUACUCCGCUGUCCAGCCAUGCUUGUUAGCACAUUAAGCCCACUUAGCCUGGUGACCCUUUGACACAGAGUUGGCGUUGCGCUUGGCGGGGGUUCGGCCGUAUUGGAGACAUUGUUGUUGGCGCCGGAGGGAGGAAACGCUACACACAGACAGCUGGCUGUGAGUCACGAGAGAGAGACAUCCGUCAUCCAGAUGUGUCAACGGAUCAGCCGGCUUCCUGAUGACAAGUCAGCGCCUCACAACGAUACGUCCUGAUUAUGAUACUUACUCCGAGAGAAUUCAAGGGAAGAAAUGCAUUCGCACUUGUAUCUCUUCAUUCACCCGAUUGUGAUUAAUGGAUUACUCAGUGACAGGGUCCAGACACACUGCUCACGUGUUACCAUGGUGACGCUGUUACCUAAGGCCCUGUAAACUGCUGUUCUAAUGAACAGUGAUCCUCUGCCUCUCAUCACCCUGUCUAUGUCUCUGUGCGUGUGUGUGGAUAGGUGUGUGUCUCUGUGUGUUUAUGUGUCUGUCUGUGAACGUGUGUUUGUGUGGUGUUCUGUCUGUGUGUGUGUGUGUGUGUGUGUGUGUGUGUGUUUCUGUGUGGUAUGUUCUCUGCAGUGAGGUGAAACGACAACAUGUGUGUGUGUUCAUCAGUCCUAAAUCCAACAUGAAGUCCCUCUAAUGAAGACGGAGGUGUUGAUUGGGAUGCCUCUGUGUGUGUGAGGAACAUGAAGUAGGAGUCUUCCUCUUCCUGUGUGUCUCCUGGCGUCGGUCCCGGUGAUCCUCUCUCCAUAUGCUGGUCCAGUCCUCUCUGUUGCGCUGCUCUCAAGGCCUCCAUGUGUUUCUGUUUCCACUUAACUCCCAACACUCGGAGGCCUGCUCUCCCAUCUGCCUGCUCCUGAGUAUCCCAUUUUGUUUUUUCAAUCUGCAUCAGUUUGUUUGCAAUUAUCUCCUCUGUAAUGUUUCAUGUUUCACUUGGGAGGAGCCUGGGCUCAUUUGGACUCGUCUUCCUGGGGGGGCAGAGUUCAAGACCUCACAAGAAGAACAGAAGCUCUUUGUAGGUGGGAGCACAACGUCCACUUAGAGUUCCUCUAAGGUAAACUGGGUCAGCGAUGCGGCCAUUGUUUGCGUUGCUACCGCCGUUAGCUGCUACCGCCAUUAGCCGCUAGACCUUGGUUCCGCCCUCGUCAGGGUCUGUGGCGAUCCUUCCAUCACAGAUAUGCUCUGGAUUUCUUAAUCAGUACCUAAAUUGAGCAGGUUUAGGAAAUGCAAAUGAAGCAUGUCAGAUGUUAAAGACAAAUAAAUCAAUGUUUUGCUGUCAACACAACACCGACAUACCUGAUAAGUGUGAUACUGCAGCAUCAUCCUUCCUUUGGCGUUGUGCUCAUGUCCAAUACCUCCUUUUAGUUUUGGUAAAUUGCGGUCCUGUAGGUCUAUGAAUCACUGAUAUAAGUAACAGCCAAGCAAUGUGCUACCUUCACGGUGCUAAAGACAACCAGCCCGACAUGAAGAAAAGAGUCACCUAAUUACACUUAGGGGGGAGCAUGAGGCCCGUGCCGAGCAGGUAGGGGUGUGGUUUUACUCGGCUGGAUUCCCUAAUCUGUCUUUCUGCAUUAUCCCAUAGGAGAAGACGUUUGAUCACUUCAAGGUGGGACAAGGCUAUGGGACAUUUAAGGAGCAUCCAGUUUCCGACUCGAGUCCAGGUUAAAUCUGGCUUUGGAUCAUCAGGUUUCUCUCCUUUAAUAAGUGGAUCUGUUUCUCUCACCAUCAACAGGUUAAGAAUGAUACCAUGGUACCUUCUGCACUUCCUGUUUGAGCCGGGGUCAGCACACUACAGUAGUGCGGCGGAUAUCUGGACAUUUUGCACUACAGUAGAGAUAGAGAGUAAGUGUGCCUGGCGUUAACGACCUGGGGGUCGUUGUGGCGCAGGGGUUAGAGAAGGUGUGCUGGGAAGCACAAGGUUGGUGGUUCGAGUCCAGGCUGCCCCAUGUUCCAUGUCGAAGUGUCCCUGAGCAAGACACCUAACCCCUAAUUGCUCCCCAGGCAAACAUGUGAAAAAAGGCCAUGGGUUUAAAGUGUAAUGUAAGUCGCUUUGGAUAAAAGCGUCUGCUAAAUGACCUGUAAUGUAAUGUUAAUACACACGCACAAAGCUGAUGCAAUGAUAUUUCCAUGUAACUAUGUAAAUCCAUUGCAUCUUCCCGGACUUUGCUGUGGUCAUGGUUGAAAAGUAUCUGCGGCCAGAUGCUUCACUCAUGACAAUAGCAGAUGAGUCAGCAGGAGUAGAGUCCUCCCGCACAUUCUCGGACUGGAAUGAGGAAUCUUCUGAAUAAGUUUGGUGUAGAACAAAAGCCCACACUUUUAGAUUAGAUCAGAUUAUUGCACCGAAAGAAGCGGUACUCCAGACAGGAUCGAUAGUCACACUUCAUCAGCUGCUGCUAUCAGUUUAUUCACUUACAUUGACAGCAACGUGAAAGUCCCAUCAUCACUUCCAUUACAACCCUUUUCUGGCUAUAAAAAGCUGAUAUUGGCAAACUGACACAUUAAUGGAACAACACGGCUUCAUGGCCACAACAAGUGCUGGCUUUUAGCAAACCCCACCACCCUUUAGUCCAGCAAUAAUUAAACUAUAAACACAGGCUUUCAGGGUGCUUCUCGGCAGCUUUAAAAACAGACAGCAGCUCCGAAACGUCUGUUAUUUUACUAACUCUGAGCCGUAUGAGCUGUAUCGGAUCGCUGAGCAUUGUUCUCCAGAGACGGACCUCACCGCUGAUGGAGACAAAUGGGCCCUGGCGAAGUUCCCCAUCCCCAGCUGAGGAAACAAAGCGGCUGGUGGAGGCCCAGGGGAGGGAGACUCUCAGUCAAGAGGAGAUUUUCCGAAUGAGCAGAAGUCACAAGCAUCUUGUCUAACGUCUCCAUGACAGGGGGAGAAAGUACUGAAUCCUCGCUGUCAGUUUGUCAAGAGCCACCAGGAUGAGAUCUUCCAGCGAUGAGACUACGGAACCAUUGCAACCCUGCUCCGCCACGAUACCCCAGCAGAGUGUUCUCACCAUCCAGCUGCCUUGCUCUUGUCUCUACUGGAAAUGCAAGACAAGGGACAGCUGGUCUGUUAGUGUGAGAGACCUCACAGAACCGCUUCAGCUGGUACCAAUAUGUCUGUACUUAUUAAUAUCAUAACAUCUUCCAGAUUUACACAACUUUGGAAUCAUUGUUUUCUAUCGACCAAGACUGAGAAUGACUGAGACGACAAGUAUGCAGAGCACUCAUAAAAUAUUUAGUAGCGGCAAUUAGGCUCUCAACAUGCUGAAUUGGACCAUGAACAGCAUUCAGUAAGGUCCAAUAAAACCCUAAUAGUUCGAUAUGUGCUCAACAAGGAAGCAUUGUGUUACAUUAACAGGCACAAUGUGAAGCCAUAGAACCUCAGGCUGGGUAGAUUGUGGAGAGGAUGACGAGACUUACAUAUGAUCAUUUAAAUAGAGAUUGUGAUCUGAAGCAGUAAAAACAAUAAUUAGUAAAAAAUAAGUAAUCAGAAAAGUUUGAUUUAUUUUUCACAUUUGAAAAUAAACCAAUAUUUUAC
ensembl:lncRNA